UCUUAUUUUAUCUAACAAAUAGUCAACUUUCUCAAAAACUAAAUAUAAUCACGUGACCUAUCUGUGUAUGGACCUGUGUAUGGACCGUCAUAAAUAGACAACUACAUUAAUGCAGGAUCUGAAGUUAAAAAAAGAAAGGAAAUGAAAAGAAAAGGAAAGAAGUCGUUUCACGUCACAAGAAUCACAGAGAUUUUAUUUUUGGUAACACUGUGUGUCUAAAAAUUCACAAACCUAUUUUAGCAACAUAAAAAAAAUGGUCAGUGUUCCUAAAAAAUAUCCUGUUUGACUUUCUUCCAGGGGGCGCUGUAAACACAAAAUAACGCCCUGUUCGAUAGUGAGUUAAAUAUUAAAAUAUGCAUUUUUGUGCAUAUCUAAUUUUGUGACUCAGUCUACAAUAGUAUCAAGUAACACUUUCAACUAGCAACUGGAUAUUUAAUAUAAGGAUUGCACCUGUAAGUGGGACGGACAUCACAACAACAAGGUGACUGUAAGACUGUCAGAUAUACUGAGGGGUUUAACACUGUAUACCUUCAACAAUGACGUCAUAAAACGUUCAGUAGUGAUUCGGGUAAAAAAAUAAUUUCUUCAGGAGUUUCACAGCUACCUAUGGGGUCCAUUUAUAACUUCUGUCGUUAACAUUGUUAACGACAGAAGUUAUAUCGUCAACAUCAGCUCAUUAUGGACAACGAGCAGCCAAAGAGCGGGAAAUGACUAGUGGAAAGUGACAACAUUUUUAAUUUUUUUUUUUUAGUAGGUCAGUGUCUUGACUCUUUACUACAUCUUUGUCGUGUUUUUAUGAGUACAGGACGUGGCGGACGCCGCUCACCCGCGGUGCUCGUCACUUCUCACCGGACUGUGUGGAACUAAAGCCCGGGCCGCGCUCUGAAUAAUGGCGUUCGUUAAAUAUUCAUCCUCCCGUUCCCGCCGUCUUUUCUGCCUCCCGACACCGACCCCUGCUGCUCCCAGAGCCCCCAGAGGAGCAGCCGCGACGGACAGCACUGAAGGUGGUAGUCAGUAUGAAAACACGUCAAGACGGUUUUGUUGUUUUUUUCAACUUUCGCUUCUUUUCGGUGUAUUUUAACUCCAGUCCCCGGAGGUGAUGGAGAGGUUUGACUGGAGCCGUAGUGACCUGUGGAGCUUCACAGGUUGGUUCACCGGGAGGAAACUCCAAACUUGACAUCUCCCUUCAACAAACACAACUAUAAAGCUUUUUAACAAAAUACUGAGUCGUUCCUGAGAGGAGUUUCCACCACAAUGAUUUGGACGUGACUGUGUCCUGGAGCAGUAGAAACGACAGAACCAGCAGUGACGUGUUUGGACGUGUUUGAACAGAGAUCUCCCCUGAAGAGCACAGACAUCCUGGAAACGUGGCCGUGGUUUUUCACUUGUCACUAAAUGUGCAGGAGUCUCCAUGGGGUCCAGAUUCAGACUGUAUAGAACAGCUCUGGCUCGAUGGACCUGUUGUCGCUCUGAUACCAAGUCUGAUUACACCUGCAGCACAGAAUACACCAGGGAAAUCUAAGACAAGUCCAGUCUGUUAAAGGUUUACAGCACAGAUGGUUUUAGGAGUUUGUCAAAAUGCCUAGUAAAAAAGACACCAAAAAGGACACAAAGAAGGGGGCAAAACCUGAGCCAGAGAAAAAAAAGGAGGAGGAGAAAAAAGGCAAAGAUGACAAAAAAGGAGGCAAGGAUGACAAGAAAGGAGGAAAAGAUGAGAAGAAAGGAGGAAAAGAUGAGAAGA